GAGCCAGCUCAACUCGUCUUCUUGUGGCAGGGCCUCCAGAUGGGUAGGUCAAGGAAAUACAGUAAGCCGCCUAUCCGGAUUUCAGCAAGGCUGCCUAAAAGAAGUCCUAGCAGCCAGUCAGAGAACUGUGUUCAGCAACAGGAUUAGUGACUGCACAAUUGGCUGACCGACCCCAAAUUCUGCCUGGAGUCAUGUUCUCUUUAACCAUGCUCCACAUUCCACCUUCCGUUGUCCUGUCCGCCACUUGUUCAAUGUCUUGAUGCCAACACAGACGGUGUGUUUGUGAGACCUACUGAUGACCCCACCAAGCAGGAAGGUAAAAUGCACAGAUGCACACAGAGACAGAGGUAACCAGAAGCAGUCGAGGAGAGAAGCACUGAACGCACAUGCAGCACUGUGACCGCCUAUGAUGGGGAAGAAAGUGCCCAGCGACACAGCAAGAAAGACGCCAGACAGCCCCACAGAAAUCAGACCCAUUUUCACCUCGAGUUGCCAGUCUACCUUGCACAAUGGAGCUCAAAUUUUCUCAAUACACAGGUGCUGCCAUAUAAAGGGCCACAAAUGAAGUGGCGCAAGCCCAGACAUUUACUGUGUUGCAAUCCUGAAGGCUGGAAGUUGAACUCAGAGGUUCCGUGGGACUGGGCUUCCUCAGAAGGGAGGGUCUGCUCCAGGCUUCUCUCUUGGCUCCUGGCUGUAUUAACUCCGUCUUCACACAGCGCUCUCCCUGAGGUGCACUUGUCUCUACAUUUCCUCUGCUUGUAAGGACACCAGCCACCUGAGUGGACUAGAGGGGGGUCAGGGACCCUCUCUAGUAUGUCCGCAUCCUAACUAAUUGCUUCUGUAAUGACCCCGUUGCCUAAUAAGGUCACAUUCUGAGCAUGAAUUUGGGGAGACCCAAGUGAACAUGGGGCCCACUGUUAGAUGACUCACAGAGUGUGGACUCCUACUCACUUUCUAUGUUGUUUCCUCUGCCAUUCUCUCCCCGAUCUAGAAACACGGUGCCCUCCCAUUAAGCACCAGUCACUUGCUUUCUUUUCUGUGUCAAUGUCUCUACUAAAAAGAAGCCAAAUUAAAGGUUGCUAAAAGCAGGCUGCUCCAGGUAGCUGAAAAAUCCCGCUGCUGAUUUAAAG